CCUCCGAGCGCUGACGAACCUGGCUGAGAGCUGACCUGGGUAGAGCGCCAUGGGUCCGGUGGUUGAGCGGGCGGCCGAGGCGGGCACGAGCGGCGUCGCCGAGCUGGAGCGGCUGAAGCAGCGCGCGGCGGAGCGCAUCGACGAGGCGGCCGAGCGCCUGGGCGCGCUGAGCCGCGCCAUCUGGAGCGCGCCCGAGCUGGCCUACGAGGAGCAGCGCGCGCACGGCGAGCUCACGCGCUUCUUGGAGCGCGAGCCUCCGGCGGGGUCGUGGGCUGUGCAACCGCACUUCCGGCUCCCCACCGCCUUCCGUGCAGAGUGGGCGCCGCCGGAGGCCGCCACGGGGCCCGGCGCGCUGCAGCUGGCCUUCCUGUGCGAGUACGACGCGCUGCCCGCCCUGGGCCACGCCUGCGGUCACAACCUCAUCGCCGAGGUCGGGGUGGCUGCUGCUCUGGGCCUGCGGGCUGCCCUCGAGGGCGUCGCCGCGCCACCGCCCGUCAAGGUCAUUGUCCUAGGAACUCCUGCAGAAGAAGAAGGUGGUGGCAAAAUUGAUUUAAUUGAAGCAGGUGCUUUUAAAGAUCUCGAUGUUGUUUUUAUGGCUCAUCCAUCUCAAGAGGAUGCCGCCUAUCUACUGGACGUGGCCGAGCAUGACGUUACUGUGAAAUACUAUGGGAAGGCGUCUCACGCUGCUGCUUACCCUUGGGAGGGAGUGAAUGCUUUAGAUGCUGCAGUCCUUGCCUAUAACAACCUCUCUGCGUUAAGACAACAGAUGAAACCGACCUGGAGACUUCAUGGUAUAAUAAAAAAUGGUGGCAUAAAGCCCAACAUCAUCCCCUCUUACUCUGAAUUAAUCUAUUACUUCCGUGCACCCUCAAUGAAAGAGCUUCAGGUUCUGACCAAAAGGGCAGAAGAUUCCUUCAGAGCUGCUGCUUUGGCUACAGGCUGCACAGUAGAAAUUACAAGUGAAGCACACGAUUAUUACAAUGUACUUCCCAAUAAGACACUAUGCAGUGCAUAUAUGGAGAAUGGGAAGAAACUGGGAAUAGACUUCAUCUCAGAAGAUGCAGUAUUGAAUGGCCCUUCAGGCUCUACUGAUUUUGGAAAUGUCAGCUUUGUGGUUCCUGGGAUUCACCCAUAUUUUUACAUUGGGACCGAUGCCUUGAAUCAUACAGAACAGUACACGGAAGCUGCAGGGUCACAAGAAGCUCAGCUGUACACCUUGCGUACAGCCAAAGCUCUGGCCAUGACUGCACUGGACGUCAUCUUUAAACCUGAGUUGCUGGAGGGAAUCAGAGAGGAGUUUAAAUUGAAGCUUCAAGAAGAACAGCUUUUAAACACACCAGCAUAGAAGGAGUGCUUAGGGACUGCUCAGGAAGCAUUCAGUUUUGUUUGUUUUACCGCUAAUACUUUUUCAGUGCAAGAGAGCAUACUUGUUUCUCAGUUGUGGUAAGUGAGGACAGACUAUAGUGAAGGCCCUAAUGGAGUUUGUGAUCCUUCAGACAUUGGUCUGACUAGAUGGCAUGUGAGUCUAUAACAUGGUAGUGUCUUUUGUAUAGCUUUACAAAUCCCACAGGUUUCAACACGUAACACUUGUGAACUAUGUUCAGAGAAGUGAAUAUCUUCUUAGCAGUUCAAAGUUGGGGAGUUGAAGUCUAGCUGUAUCUGGUUUGGUCUAGAGAAAAACUUAAGCAAGUGCCUGUAGGACACACCUAGAAUCUCCAGUACAAAGAAUUAUCUUGACUUUUAACAUUGUUUUGAAAAAGAAAACGUUCUUUAUUUGCAUGUAAUUACUCCAAGGAGUGGCACAGGAGCAGUGUAACAGGAGAAGUGACAGAAGAGCAGGGUGGGGAGACUGCCCUGUGGGAGAGGAGGGUGAACUGCGUGUGCACUGUGCCCACCACCCAGCAGCCUCCUGCCCCACAGAAGCCCCCUAAGCCCCUGCUGGCCCAGCGGUAGUAAACGUGGAAAGGCGGCCUCUUAUCCCCAUGCUGUGACUUAACUAAGUUUCUGGCCUUCUCUCUGGACUUUCUCUUUGCCGUCUCAGCUCGCUUUCUGCCUUUGUGUUACCAGAGCAUUCUGGGAAAGCCAGGAUUUUACCUGGAAAUUUGAGACAUUGUCAGUAAAAUCACUGGCAACAAUAAUCCUGGAAAAGAGGGAGAAAGUCACAUAAAACCACCAGUAUCUCAUGAUUCUUACUUGGCAUAAAUUUCUCUGUUUCAGACAAGUGUUUCCUUCUGUUCCACCCUCCUCCCUUUCUAGCUGCAGUCCUGCUGCCCGUCAGGUACUGGGGCCAUAGGCAUGAGCAUGUACUCCUGCCGUGUAGAGUGAGCUUCUGCACAUGGUUAGAGAUGUAAACCGCUGGUGAGACAAACUCUUAGGCACAAGAGAAAGCUUGGGUGUGGGACCCAAAUAGAGCUGUAGAAUUCCUUUAUGCAUCACAUGCACUGCCGCAUACACAUGGCUUGAAGGAAGGGUCCAGUGCUUUUAGUGUGCCUGAGAUUUAACAGACCUCUUUGUCCAGGCCAGUUGUGCAGUUAUCUGCCUGCUCAUACCACUAAAAAGGUUUGGAUUUUGAAGCAUUUUGGAUUUGAGGUCAGGUGUGUUCAACUUGUACUAUUACUAGUAAGUUGCUAUGUAUUCUUUGACUGUAGCUAAUAUUUAGCUUGCCUCAAAAUUUUUAAACUGAUUUUUAGUCUUAAUAAAUUCUCUUUAUUGAAUGAACUACACAGGAAAUUUUUUUUAAACUUUUUCUCUCUGUAGCAUAAAUGCUAAGAGUAUUUAAGGUAGACAUUGCAUGUUUUUAUGAGGAAGUUUAAACAUGAAGGGGUCCCCACACUCUCCCAGGGUGUUCAAUGGUAUAGUUCCAUUGGUUUAAAAAAAAAACGUUACAGUAUCCUUUAAAAAGAAUAAUUGUCUCACUUUGUAACAUUUUUUAAAAGAAAAAAAACCUCUCUGAUGGUUUUUAUGUCUUGUGAUUUCUGACUUUUUACCUGAAGCAAUCUUUUGAAACAUGUCCCAAAUCAUCAGAGUAAGUUUUGAUGGCAAUUAUAAUUCUUGUGCCAGUUAGCAACUGUGGUCAUCUGUGAGAUAGGAUAAACUCACUACUUUAGACCCUGUGAUCUACUGACACAGCUUGGGCCGCUGCUCCAGUCCCAAAGAGAAAGGGGCAGGCCACCGUGGAUGAGACUGGACCAAGGUAAACCUUUCUCUUGCUGAGUAUCAGAUAUUUUACCAAGGUGACAGUAAGCUAACAGCUUGUUUUUUUGUUUGUUUGUUUUGUUGUUUUAUUUAUUUAUUACAUAUACAGUGUUCUGCCUGUAUGCCAGAAAAGGGCACCAGAUCAAAUUAUAUGAUUGUGAGCCACCAUGUGGUUGCAGGGAAUUGAACUCAGGUCCUCUGGAAGAGCAGACAGUACUCUUAACCUCUGAGCCAUCUCUCUAGCCCCCAACAGCUUGUUUUUUUUUUUUUUUUUUUUUUGGUUUUUCGAGACAGGGUUUCUCUGUGGUUUUGGAGCCUGUCCUGGAACUAGCUCUGUAGACCAGGCUGGUCUCGAACUCACAGAGAUCCGCCUGCCUCUGCCUCCCGAGUGCUGGGAUUAAAGGCGUGCGCCACCACGCCGGCCCAACAGCUUGUUUUUAGUGUGGUAAAUAUUCUUAAAAAAUGGAGUGAUACUCAGCCAUAAAGAAUGAAAUGUCUGUAUGCAUGUGUGUGUGUGUGUGUGUGUGUGUAGGUCUGUGCUCCCAUGCACAUCUGUGGGGGUCAGCAGAGGAUGUCAGGCAGCCCAUUUUAUCAGCUCCAUCCCAUUGAGACAGGGUUUUUCACUGAACCCAGAGCAAGGUUGGUGGCCAGCAGGCACCAGUGACCGUUUUCUGCCCCCGCAGUGCUGCAGUUAUAGGUGCAGGCAUGUGGCCAUACCUGGCCUUUCAUGUAGGUGCCAGGGAUUUGAACUCAGAUUCACACACAAAUAUACACAUAUUUGUGACUACAUGUUAUGUGACAUAUUUCACGGCACAUUGUGUGACAGACUUCUCCUGGGGAGAUGCAAACAGACAUAUGCUCACCUCAGGUAGGGAACCCAUGACAGACCACAGAAAGGAACCAUCAAAGUCAGGGAACUGGUGACAGACCACAGAAAGGAACCAUCAAAGUCGGGGAACCGGUGACAGACCACAGAAAGGACACCAUCAAAGUCCAGCCGGUAAACUGUUUCAGGUCUGGGCAGCUGGAAAACGAACAAGCAGCCUCUGUCUACAAUUCUGGAAAUGAAAAUUUUAGGAAUUCAAACAAGAACUACGGAGGCAAGCUUCAGCAACAAAAUUCAAGCAAUGGAAGAGAGAAUCUCAGGCAUUGAAGAUAUGAUAGAAGAAAUGGAUAUAUUGGCCAAAGAAAAUGUUAAAUCUAAAAAACUGACACAAAACAUCCAGGAAAUCUGGGACAUUAUAAAAAGACCAAAACUAAGAAUAAUAGGAAUAGAGAAAGGAGAAGAAUCUCAGUUUAAAGACCCCAAAAAAUAUUUUCAGCAAAAUAGAAGAAAGUUUUUCUAACCUAAGAAAGAGAUUCCUAUAAAGGUGUAAGAAGCAUACAGAACACCAAAUAGAUUGGACAAGAAAAGAAAGUUCCCUUGGCACAUAAUUAUCAAAACACUAAAUGUACAGAACAAAGAGAAUAUUAAAAGCUGCAAAGAAAAAGGCCAAGUAACAUAUGACAGACCUAUUAGAAUUACACCUGACUUCUCAGUGGAGACACUAAAAGCCGGAAUGUUUGGACAGACAUGCUGCAGACUCUGAGACCACAGAUUCCAUCUCAGACUACUAUACCCAGAAACUAGGUGGAGAAAAUAAGACAUUCCAUGAUAAACAAAUAUAGAGACCCAUAGCCGGACACUAUGCAGAGAGAAAGAGACCUUGGAACACACAUCUCUAAAUGGGAUGUCUUCAUCAACUCCCUCCCCUCAGAGCUCAGUAUCCCAUGGAAGAGGUGACAGAAAGAUUUCAGAGUCGAGGGGAUGGAGCACACCUGAGAACAAGGCUGUCUAAAUCAACUAAACAGGGUUCCUAUGAACCCACAGAGCCUGAAGCAGCAUGCACAAGGCUAACCCAAUCUGUACCAGAUCUUCUGAGUAUAUAUUAUAGUUUAGUAUUUUUACAGGACUCCUGAGUGUGUGAAUCAAGUGGGUCUCUGAUUCUUCUUUUCCUUCUGUUGGGAUUCCUUUUCCAGCCUCAAUGGGAUGGUUUUUGUUUUAUGUUUUAUUUCGUCAUGUUUGGUUGUUAUCUCUUAGAAGCCUGUUCUGAGGGAGAUGCGGGAGAGUAGAGGGAGGGAAACCACAAUCAGGAUAUAUUAUGUAAGAAAAUCUAUUUUCAUUUGCUUGUUUGAUUUUUUCGAGACAGGGUUUCUCUGUGUAACAGCCCUAGCUGUCCUAGAACUCACUUUGUUGACUAGAUUGACCUCAAACUCACAAAAAGAACCUAUUUUCAAAAUAAGGAAAAAGAGUUUGAAGGGUUGAAGAGAUAGGUCAGCAGGUAACUGAUUGCUGCAAACAUGAGGUCCUGGUUCAGAUUCUCAGAACCCAUAGGAAAGCUGAGUGUGGCAGUGCUGAAUGGAACCCAGUGCUGCACCCAGAGACAGGGAGAUCUAGGGCCUCACUAUGCAGCCAGGUUAGCCAAAAAGCAAGCUUGAAGAUUAGUGAGAGACUCUGUCUCUAAAGGGUGGGAAGGGGGGAAGUGAUUGGGAAAGACAUCCCAGUGUUAACUUCUAGCCUCUACAGACAAGCACACAUACACACACACACACACACACAGAAUUAUCAAAUGUAGUUGGGUUUUCUUAUCUACAGGUUCUGCAUCCAUCUGUUCAACUAACUUUCAAUAAAAACUUAUUGGUAAUAACACAUCAUUAUUGAACACAUGCAGACAUAUUUUCAUGUGUGUAAGUAUGUGUAUGGCAUAUGCAUAUGUGUAUGGUGACUUCACAUGCUGAAUGUGCACUCAAACAGACCAGAGAAGACUAUCAAGUGUCUUGUUUCAUUACCAUACACUUAUUUUUUUGAGACACUGUCUCCUCCUGAAUCUAGAGCUAGGCUAGUGGUCAGCAAGCUCCAGAAGUCCUCCUGUCUCCCCCCCCCCCACACACACACACCACAGCACUAGGGUUGCAGGCAUGCACACACAUGGCCACACACAGUUUCUGGGUGGGUGCUGGUGAUUCAACCCAGUUCCUCAAAUUUGGUAGCAGUGCUCUUACCCAUUGAAUCAUCUCUCUAGUCCCCAUAUUUUUUCUUGUCAUUUCCUAAAUGCUAUAACUAUUUAUAAAAUAUUAGGUGUACUGUGAUGCAAAUAGAUUUCCAUGGGCAUAUGUUAUUGAAUGUACAUGAUGGUGUAUGACACUGUUCCUGUGCAUAUGUGAGCAAACAUGUACCACUCCAAACCAAUGACAGACCAAAUUAAAGUAAAGAUACCACCAAAGUCCAACUUGGUGAACCAAUGAGCUUUAUUGGGGUUACUUAGAGGUGCAGAAAUUAUUCAAAGACAGCUGCAUCACCGAAGCCCACCCCAUCAUGGGUGAAAACCCACAAUAGCUGGAAAUCUGGAACUCAUUGCAUGACUUGCAGACAGCUGGAUGUGUUGGAAUGUGUCCCCUCCAGAUAGCUUAGCUGGUUUUUGCCUUUUCCAGACAGCUUGGAUCACCUGAAAGUUUCUCUCAGUGGCUCUUAUUGCUUAUGUUUAUUUGGUGGAGGGAGAUAGUUUCACGGGCUUCCUGAAACUUUUGAGUUGUUUGCUUCCUGAGCUUAACUUGAAUGGGCUUCUUUCCUGUGGGAUGGAGGGCAUCACCUUUUGUUAAGCACGUCCUAAGGAGCUUCCCUCCAAGAUAAAGUAUUCUAACUGGGAGGAGAUUGCUAUAGAAAAAAUGGUCUAUAAACAAGGCUUCUGAAGAAGUACCUCAGGUUAAAUGAGGCCAUGGAUGAGGGUCCUGACAAAAUAUAACUAGGGAGAAAGAGA